rnacentral:rRNA from 1 species
AUUGAACGCUGGCGGCAGGCCUAACACAUGCAAGUCGAACGAGUGGCGGACGGGUGAGUAAUGUCUGGGAAACUGCCUGAUGGAGGGGGAUAACUACUGGAAACGGUAGCUAAUACCGCAUACCAUCAGAUUUGCCCAGAUGGGAUUAGCUAGUAGGUGGGGGAACGGCUCACCUAGGCGACGAUCCCUAGCUGGUCUGAGAGGAUGAUCAGCCACACUGGAACUGAGACACGGUCCAGACUCCUACGGGAGGCAGCAGUGGGGAAUAUUGCGCAAUGGACGCAAGCCUGAUACAGCCAUGCCGCGUGUAUGAAGAAGGGCUUCGGGUUGUAAAGUACUGUCAGCGGGGAGGCGUUACCCGAAGAAGAAGCACCGGCUAACUCCGUGCCAGCAGCCGCGGUAAUUC